UAUGUAUGUAUAUAUAUAUACGUGUGUGUAUGUAUAUAUGUGUAUAUAUGUAUGUGCGUAUGUAUAUAUGUGUAUAUAUGUAUGUGCGUAUGUGUAUAUCUGUAUGUAUAUAUAUGAUCAUGUCCCCUGCAAACAAAGGCAGUUUGACUUCCGUUAUUCUAAUUUGGAUGUCUUUUAUUGCGUUCUCCUAAUUGCCCUACCUAGGACUUCCAGUACUGUGAUGAGUAAAAGUGGUGUAAAAGUAGCCACACUUGUUCCAGGUCUUAGAGGAAGAGCUUUUAACUUUUCCCCAUUGAUUAUGAUGUUAGCUGUGGGUUUGUCCCAUAUGGCCUUUAUUGCGCUGAGAUACAUUGUUUUGUACUCAUGUUGUUCAGUUUUUAUCAUGAAGAAAUGUUGAUUUUUAUUUUUUUCAGCAUCUACUGAAAAGAUUAUAUGGUUUUUAUUCUUGAUUUGCUGAAUGUGAUGUCACACAUGUAUUUAUUUGUGUUUAUCGAAUCCUCCUCACAUUCCUGGGAUGAAUCUCACUUGAUCAUGGCAGAUCAUCUUUUUAUUGUGUUGUCAAAUGCAAUUUUCAAGUAUUUUAUUGAGGAUUUUUUUGCAUCUGUAUUCAUCAAGGAUAUUUGCCUGUGGCUUUCUUUUUGUGUUGUGUCCUGGUCUGGUUCUUGAACCAGGGUCAUGCUGUCCUCAUAGAACAAGUUUCAAAGCCUUCCUUCCUCUUCAUUCUUUGGGGAAUAUUUUGAGUAAAAUUGGUAUUAGCUCUUUUAAAAAUUUUUGGUAGAAUUCAGCAGUAAAACCAUGAUUCUUGUGUUUUUCUUUGACAGAAGACUUUUUAUUCCUGCUUUAAUUACAUUACUCAUUAUUGGUCUGUUCAGGUUUUUUAUUUCUUCGUCAUUCUAUCUUGUGAAUUUGUUGCAUGUCCAGAAAUUUGUUCAUUUCUCCUAGAUUUUUCUAUUUGUUUUUAUAUAGGUGUUUUCAAUAAUCUCUUACAAUCCUUCAUAUAUCUGUGUUAUCAGUUGUAAUGUCUCCUUUUUCAUCUAUGAUUUUAUUUUCUUUUUCUUUCCAGUUAAAACUUGUCAAUUUUGAUUUUUAAAAACAAUCCCAGCUCUUUAUGCCAUUGGUUUUUGGUAUUUUUUUGUUUCUAUUUUUAAAAUUUGUUUUCUAAUCUUUAUGAUAUUUUUUCUACUAAUUUUAGCAUUUUAUUUUUCUUGUUUUUCUCAUUGGUUGAGGUGUACUGUCAGGUUGACUGUUUGAGAUCUUUCUACUUUUCUGUUGUAGGCAUUUAUAGCUAUGCACUUUUCCUCUUACAUCUGCCUUUGCUGCAUCCCACGGGAUUUGUUAUGUUGUGUUUCUGUUCUUAUUUGUUUCAAUAAAUUUUUAAUUUCCUUUUUAUUUUUUUCAUUUAUUUAUUGGUUGUUCAUGAGCAUGUAUUUUAAUUUCCAUAUAUUUGUAUAGUUUUUAAAGUUCCUCCUGUUACUGAUUUCUAGUACUAUUCCACUGUGGUCAGAAAGGAUGCUUGAUAUGAUUUCAGUUUUUAAAAAUGGGCUAUGACUUGUUUUUUGGCCUAACACAUAGUCUUUCCUGGAGAAUAAUCCAUGUGCUACUCAGUGGAAUGUGCAUUGUGCAGUUGCAGAGUGGAACGCUGUUUAAAUGUUAGGUCCAUUCGGUAUAGAUUACAGUUUAACUGAUGAUGUCUUGUUGCCUGGAUGAUCUAUCCAUUGAUGAUAGUGGAGUGUUGAUUAUAGUGGAGUGUUGAGGUACUCUAUUACUGUAUUGCAGUCCAUCUGUCCUUUAAGGUCUGUUAAUAUUUGCUUCUGUGUUCAGCUGCUUGAGUGCUGGUUGCAUAUGCACUUAUAAUUGUUAUGCUGCUGUUUACUUCUUUCUCAUGAUGUAAUUAUCUUCAUUUUUUCCUCUUUUGACUGACAGCCUAUUUUAUCUAAGUAUAGCUAUUCCUGCUUUUUUGUUUCCAUCCCUUCACUUUCAGUCUAUGUACGUCUUUAUAGGUGAACUGAGUUUCUUGUAGGCAGUAUAUAAUUGGGUCUUGUUUUUUAAUCCAUUCAGCCACUCAGUCUUAAUUGGAGAAUUUAAUUCAUUUAUAUUCAAGGUUAUUGCUAACAGGUAAAAACAUACUACUGCCAUUUUUUGCUUGUUUUUGGGUUGUUUUGCUACUCUUUUUGCUUUUCUUUCUCGCUUCCUUCUUCUUUCUCUUCUCUCUGAUCUUUCUUUUUUUCUUCCUUUCUUUUCUUUCCUCCUUCCCUUCCUUCCUGUAUUUAUUUGUAGUGAGGUAAUUUUUUCAGGUAGUAUGUUUUAAUUCCUUGCUUUUAAUUUUUAGGGUGUCUAUUAUUGAUUUUUGUUUUCUGGUUACCAUGAGGCUAAACAACAUAAUUAUAAUCAGUUAUUUUAAACUGAAGAAAACUUAACUUUGAUUGGUCUCAGCUACUCAGGAGGCUCAGGUGGGAGGAUUGCUUGACCCUGGGAGGCCGAGGUUGCAGUGAGUUGAGAUUGCACCACUGCACACUCCAGCCUGGGUGACUGACAGGGCUGGAGUGCAGUGGCGUGAUCUCGGCUCACUGCAACCUGCACCUCCCGGGCUCAAGCGAUUCUCCUGCCUUAACCUCCAAAUAUCAUAGUAUCAUGAGGUUAUGAAGACAUGUUGCCUGCGCCAGAUAGCAAUACUGGCUGUAGUUCUAAAAAUAAAGAUCUAUUUGAAGAAUUCAGAGAAUCUAUGGAAGAUGGCUCAGCUUGCUGUGAAGCAAAGAAACCAGGGACCUUCUCCAGAACCUCUGAAGUUGAUGUUAGGUCCAGCUAAUGUUUGUCCUCUAAAAAGAAAGUGGAAUUCUCUCUCAGUUAUACUAGUGCUUGAUAUUCCAGUAGCUACACUAAAGAAUGUGGAAAAAAAGAGAUGAGUCUUUCUGAUUGAAUAGAAGUGGAUCAUUUCCACUAGAACAGCUUCAAAGCUUCCCCCAACUUUUACAGAACAUCCAUUGCUUAGAGAUACUUAACUGUUGAUCAGUUGUUCUGCUGUUGGCAGCUGCCUUCUCAGAUGGGCUCCGUGCUAAACAACUCUCUGCUGCUUCACUACAUUAACUGUGUCAGAGAUGAGCCAGUCUUGCUAAGGUCUUAUUAGUGAUUGAGUCAAACAUUACAAGAAGCUGGAUGCUUGUAUUUACUGUUUCUGCUCUAGAAUGUAUUUGGUACAAGGUGAAUAAUUAUGAACAUGGAAAAGAAUUUACCAACUUUCUGGAUACUAUCAUCAGGGCAGAGUCCUUCUUACAAGAGGGGUUUCAUUCCUGUGAAGCAUUCCUGUAUAAGAGCCUUCCUCUCUGGGACGGCCUCUGUUGUCGGUCACAGUUCCUUCAGCUUGUGAGAUGGAUUCCUUUUAGUAGCUACUCUGAGGUGAAACCACUUCUUUCUGAUCGUCCAGCACAGCCCUUCUUUACAUCAGCCAUUUAUUUCAAGAGAGACAACGUUGGGUGGAUCCAUGAACUCUGUGUCUAAACUGCUCCACUGUGUAGGGUGGCUAUCCACUACUGCAGUGUGCUUGGAGAGCAACAGUACUUUCUUGAUGCACUGUAUGUUGGAUUUCUAUGAGAAGCUCGUACACAUUACAUUUGGAUUUUUGUGAAAGCUGUCCACCUUAUUGGCUUAUUAUUUAAAUUUUCUGUGCAAACAUUAAGGUGGGCUAUGACCUUAUUAGCAUCAUUAAAAUAACCUCACAUUUU